rnacentral:rRNA from 1 species
UACGUAGGGGGCGAGCGUUGUCCGGAGUUACUGGGCGUAAAGGGCACGCAGGCGGUGCGGCGCGUUUCGCGUGACAGCGGAGGGCUUAACUCUCCGAGGAUGCGAAAGACGGCGGCACUUGAGGGCCAGAGAGGGACACGGAAUUCCGGGUGGAGUGGUGAAAUGCGUAGAGACGUCGAGGAACACCGAAGGCGAAGGCAGUGUCCUGGGGAGUACCUGACGCUCAGGUGCGAAAGCCAGGGGAGCGAACGGGG